rnacentral:rRNA from 1 species
UACGAAGGGGGGCUAGCGUUGCUCGGAAUUACUGGGCGUAAAGCGUGCGUAGGUGGUUUGUUAAGUCUGAUGUGAAAGCCCUGGGCUCAACCUGGGAAUUGCAUUGGAUACUGGCAGGCUAGAGUGCGGUAGAGGAUGGCGGAAUUCCCGGUGUAGCAGUGAAAUGCGUAGAGAUCGGGAGGAACACCAGUGGCGAAGGCGGCCAUCUGGAUCAACACUGACGCUGAGGCACGAAAGCGUGGGGAGCAAACAGG